rnacentral:misc_RNA from 1 species
AAUGUGUUUCUCUACCCUUUGAGAGUUUGUUUCCCCUUGUUCCCCUGAUUCUACAUCAAUUGGUAUCAAAGCUUGCUCAACAUCAGUAUUUUUUUACCACGUGGUGUUGGCUGGAGCCAAUAGAUCCAGCCAAUCAGGAGAUUACAAAGCAUUUGAAGUCAUUAAUUAGGAUGACAAGUUCUUGCAAGAUAAUUCCUAGUAGGAUGACAAUUCCAGCAACAAACUAUCAUCCCAAGCAACAAUUUGGGUUGUGAUAUUUGCCUAUUCACCCUGGCCAAGUUAAUUUGAUGCAUGGCAAUUUCUCUGAACAGUACAAAUGGCAACCAACAACUAUCAUAUCUUAUUUCUAGAACGGUAGAACUUGAGUUAGAAUUUUUUUUUUAACGCUAAAAAAAAGAAAUUGUACUUAAUACUAUUAACAAAAGAUGAGGCAUGGUCUUUUGAAUUCAUUAAGGAACGUGUUUAGCCUAAUGACAAGUGACUUUUGCAGUUAUAGUAUCUUCUUUGUCCAACUGGGCCACAUGCAGGCAAUUGCUAGGAUUACAAUGCAAAAGACCAGCUUAAUAUGGGCUGUUGAUUUGCAUGAGCAAUGAAAAUCACCAUGAGGUAACAAUUUUCCACAUGCAAAGUUGUCUUUGCAUAUGACAAUUUUACUUAAAAAUGGUCAUUAUAGGUAACAAUUUUUCUUAAGCCACCUCCAAACCCACAGCUAAAGUCAACAUAUGUGCUUAUGAGAUCCAGAAUAAAUUUGGUUUUUGCAUUAAAUUGAUACACAGUUUAAUUUCCCCAACAUUUUAAUAAAAAGCGAGAACAACUAUCAAGUUCAUAAUUAGACAGAAAUUGAAAAUCAGCUAAAGAUGUUUUUCAUAAAACAGAAGCCAGUAGUUUUAGUAAAAAGCACCCAGUUCUUAAUAAAUUUGAAAGUAAGAAAGGAAAGGGAAAAAACAAAAAGCAACUUUAAAUAUGUUCUACAAAAAUCAAUGGGGAAACUUAAUGAUGACAAAAGAAGCAUUGUUCAAACCUCAACAAGUGCUGCCAAACCAAGCAUU